AAAUACAUGGGACAUGUGCGUUUGGACUGUGCCUGAAUGGCUUCAUGUUUUAACAGGCUGAGGAUGAAACCAGAAGGAUCUGCUCAAAGGAAAAUUAGGGCUA